rnacentral:lncRNA from 1 species
CACCACGUCGUCGUUGUUCUAGUUAGUUAAUUUGCGAAUUAUUUACGAAUUUUUGAAGAUACAAAUUAAACGGCUGUUUUCGUAUUUUUUGAAAAAUUCAAAAAAAUACGCGUUAUUUUCAUCAAAAAUAAUUAUUCGCGAUUCACGAAUGAUUCGCCCAAAAAUUCGGCGCUCGCGGUCGCGGACGGGUGGCCGCGGGUCGCGUCGUCGCCGCUCUCAUUGCUGAACUCGUCUGUGUUGUCGUCCUCCUCCUCCUCCGCCGCCCUGGCCGGCGCCGGGACCAAGAGGGCCGCGGGGCGUUGUCCGUCUCGCCCGUGGCCGCCUGCGGAAAAGCGCGGCGUUGGGAGCGCAUUGAUCGCGCGCAAUCCACGAGGCCACUCUGGCCUCGUGGACCGCAUGAGAGGGAGGUCCAUAGUGAACCUCCAUCUCAUUAUAUAUAUAUAUAUAUAUAUAUAUAUAUAUAGUCCUGCUGGGGUACAAUCGAUAGCACCAAGGAUUUGGUGCUAUCGGGUUUUCCAUCGUUAGAUUCAACCCUUUGAUUAUUUUUACCCGUUAGAUUAUACUAUUCAACCAACCACUCACUUAACCCUAAAGGGCCCACAUCAUUCUAACCACCCAUUUAUCAAUCCAAAGGCUAAAAAAUCAAUGGCACUAAUAGUUUUGUAUUAUUGAUAGUAUUUCAGCCUAGUUCUAUAUAUAUAUAUAUAGUCCAGCUAUGGUGCUUGUAAGUUUUUUACCGUUAGAUUUACUCAUCGGAUCAUUUUUAAUUAUUAGAUUAUACUAUUCAACCAACCACCCACUCAACCCUAAGGGGUCCACAUCAUCCUAACCGCAUAUCUCUUAAUCUAAUGGCUAAAAAUUUACAAACACCAAUAACUUACUUUUAAAAGCAUAGGAGCUCAAUUAUAUAUAUAUAUAUAUAUAUAUAUAUAUAUAUAAAAUUGACUAUACUAAUAUCUACCCCCGUAUCGCGCUAGUCUGAACAUUAAAAUGUAAGGUCUAAUACAUUCCCGUAUUUUUUUUUGAAUUUAAACUCGGAAAAUACAAAUUGAAUAUCCGUCCAUGCCGGUGUAAUAUCCCUUAUGGCUCGGGCUUGUAUAUUGCUGUUCUUGGUGCUUCUGGUCGCGGAUCCGAGGUAACGUAAUCGGUAACCGAGGCUAGAGAGGUAAGAAAAUAGCGAUAGAAAUUGGGAUUGAGAUAGAGAGAAGAGAAAUAGAAGUAGAGAGAUAGACAGAUGAGGAUCGAGAGGUGAGGGUUAGGGAAAAGAGUUGGGAUAGAGAUAAGGGAUAGAGAAGAAGAAGGGUUUGGAGAAGAACCUUUGGGGGAGAAAUAGACUAUUU